AAUAAAAAUGAAAAUCACUUGCUCUACUGCGUUUGCCAAUUUCCUGAAGAUGUAGUUCCGCCUCUACCAAAAGUUUAUAAUAAUUCUUCGAAAGGCGGCUUUAAAGAUUGUGAUACUACAAAGUACCGAGUUCGCUCAAAAAACUACUUGACAACAAAAUUUAAAGAAUUUUCGGGGCCAGCUAAAUUUGAAUUACUUGGCGUGGAUUUUUUUAAAAAUUAUAAUCACAAUAAGUUAACUCACUAUGGCAGCCAUCCUCAAGGUCUGGUCCAGGUUGCGAUCAGGGAGAAUAAAGAAACAA